CUCAGACUACUGAACAGAACUUCAGAGUAAAGCACGAGAAAUCAGCUGAAGAGAGGAGUUUUUUCCCUGAUCAAUUUCAGAUCCUGAAACGAGAAUGUCGACUGCUAUACCCAUCAAUUCUUUGGUCAUCCAGCUGCAACAACCAAUACAAACAGCAGCUGGCACUGAAACAAAUGCUCCUGCGCCUGUUUAUGGCCAACAGAUAACAGGACUUUCACUUCUUCAUGGACUUAGGGCAUUUCUAAAAGGCCAACCAAAGGCCCUUGGGACUGUCCAGAUAAUGAUCGGUGUGAUGACUCUCCUGUUUGGCAUUGUGUCUACAGUUCAUGCAGAAUCCAUCUUUGUCUUUAUUGGUGUUCCUUACUGGGGAUCUAUCAUCGUAAGAAAUUACACAGUUUAGUGUUCUGCCUUGUAUAAUACAAGCU